ACCAGUUCUGUUUACUUGUGAGAAAAAGCGAGCAAGUGGGUACUCAGGUGUUUGAGGAUUGACUAGAUGAAGGCUCAGGGGCCCCAGGUAGGAGAAAUGAGUUUGCGAAGAGACUGCCCGGUCAGUGGUGGAACACUCUCCUGGGAUGCAGGCAACUAUGCAGAAGAGGAGACAGAAAGAUUGUCAGAGCCAAUGACACCGAGGAAAAAGCAUCUUCCAGACACAACAGGACUGACGUACAUACAAACUGACACUGAGGAAACUGUUUCUCAGAAACAACAGGACUGACGCACAUAUGAACUCAUACCGAGGAAACAGUAUCUUCCAGACACAACAGAAUGGACGCACAUGCAAACUCAUGAAGAUUGUGGCAGUAAACACAGGACCUACACAGGUCCAAGCCAAAUGGGGGAGUGGCCAUGAACUCCCAUCCCUAAGCAAGAAGCUGUCUCCAGAUGACAACCUCUCGAAAAGGAAAAAUUAGUCUCUCCAAUGGAGUCUCACUGGGCGUACAGGUGGGCCACUCUGAAGGUCAGGCCCCAUGCUCAGCAGGAAAUGCCCAGCACAAAGUGAACUAAAUGAGUACGGAGGGAUGGAACAGUGGUUAGGAGCACUGACGGCUGUUCUAGAGGACCCAGGUUUGAUUCCCAGCAUCCACAUGGGCAGAUCAUAACCAUCUGGAACUCCAGUUUCAUGGGAUCCAAUGCCACCUUCUGGCCACCACAGUGUGGCAGCAGAAUGAAGCCCCCUGCCCCGAUGCACUGCCCAAAUGUCCUCCUCGUCAUCCCCAGAACUUGUGAAUGCUUACCUUACAUGCCAAAAGAGGUUUUGCAGAAAGGUACUGUAAUAAAGAGAGUCAAAGAGGAAAACAUCAGCGAUGGAAAAGUGCAAGCAGCCAACCAGUUUGGGAGUCCCGGGGGUAGCUUUUCUCUGAGGAGACAUAUGACAUGCAUAUAACUGUUUGUGUUGCAUUGUUGUGCCUUUCUGGACACAGAGAACUUCAGUUUUUGCUAAGCAUUGAUAUAAAUGGAAUCCUCACUUAACAU
rnacentral:lncRNA from 1 species